GUUCCACUUCAGACAAAUGCCAGGAGAGACAAGGACACCCAGAAACCUAGUCGCCUCCACAGUGGACUGGCAUUGCCGAGGAGCCUGAGGCCUUCCACAGAGGCUGUCGCUUUUCUCCAGGCUACAUUGGCAACUGCACCAGAGCCUUAGACACAUCGUGUACCCGUGCCGCUGCGGGUGGCCUAGCUGCAUUCUGUCUGUCAGCCAGGGUUCGGAAAUUUCCACGUCCUUCUUCGUCCUCGGUCCACAGGUGAGACCCUCUUUGACGGCUAACCUGGCCACAGCUUAAGAACAAAGAUGCCAGGCACAAGGCACAGAAGAACUGCUGCUUAGCACUACCCCAAAAGCGGGGCUGGCGGUGAAAAAGAAGAUUCCAUCUGACAGAACCUGAGAAGAAGUGUCAGGAGCAGCAGUCACGUUCACCCCACGUUCACCCUGCUGUGGUCCACCAGCGUCCUCCGAAGAAGUGACAAUUGCUAAGCUCCCACCAAUUGACACUGUCCUGCCUUUUAACGGGUUCUAUUAUAUUUUUAAUUGUUUUCUCCGGAGCAGUGCAAUAGCCCUGGCACCGAACCGACAAACCUCAAAGAGUGCCGGGUUAAAGAAAAGCAUGCACUGUCCUGAGCUCUAGCACGAGGGGAGCCAGGGCUCCAAGCUCCAAGUUUGGCAUUCUCCAUAAGUAUUGCGAGGUGGAGCUCACUCCACCAUCGCUGGGGUGACCUGGAAGUGGGGAGGAAAAGCCCAGAAAACGUGUGAGGUUUGCUGGAAGAAGGAGAUGCUGUGUUCUUCUGGACUCUAUCAGACACUUGUGGAAGGUAGUCUGAGUUAGCCACUCGCUCCUUGUUAGCUUGCUCAUUUUGCACGAUCUCACCUCUCUCUCCCUUCUAAAUCUCUCUCACCUCUAAAUAUUCUGAAAGUCUGCUUUACACUAAUAAACACGAGAAAGAGGAAAGAACAA
rnacentral:sRNA from 1 species